GUAAGUUGCACUCGAAGCAAUAGGCUAAGGGCACGUCAGGCUAGGUGUCACA
rnacentral:rRNA from 1 species